CUGGAAAUAUGAUGACAUUAUUCUCAUAAUAUUACGACUUCAUUCUCGUAAAAUUAUGCCUCUUUUUGUAUUCGACUUUAUUCUCAUAAAAGUAUGGGUUUUAUCUGGAUAUUUUCCGACUUUAUUUUCCUAGUGACAGUAUUUUUAUUUUCCUAUCAGACCUUAAUAUUCCGUCGUAUGAUACAUCUUUCUAGUGCUCAGAGUGUUUGACUAAAGUGGUCCUGAUGUGUCUUUAUGGAUCUGGUUUCCUGUGACAAGUGCCCCUGAAUUCAGAUCCUUGGUACGACGCUGGGAAAAGAGCCUUUUCCUGUGUAUUUAACCUCCCUGGGCUUUUAAUGCAACAUGUGACAACGUGUACUGUACUCCAUCUCUGGGUGUUUAAAUAGAUCCAGCCUUCUGACUGUGUCUUCAGUGUUAUGGCUAUAAUUACAUUAAACUGUGGUUUCUCUCA